GGGAGUGCGGGUAGCGGUAAGGGAGCGGCGGCAGGGUUUCCUUACGCCUCGGGUUGCCGGUUAACGGAGUUAAGUAAUAUUUGCUGCCUCCAUAGGCAGUGAUGAGCUUCGAGGAGAGGGGUAAUUUUAAAAAGGAAAUGUCUUCUCAUCAGCGUGUCCUUUGUUCCAAAUGUCUUCUGAAGGGAAAUCAGGAAAUGAAAGAAAAGAACAUAGCGUUUUUGUUCUGACUUUAAGGAAGGAGACAUGCCCACCGAUAGUUAUUAAUCAUCAGUAAUUUACUUAGAAACACACUUGUCUUUAAACAGCUCUUCAGAACUGGCACAGAGACCGAUGAACUGCGCUCCCUAGAAAACAGGGGAAGUUCAGAUCCAGACCUUUCCUUCAUCUUUCAAUAAGGGUAUAUACUCGGUAAACUCCGGUUUGUUAAGCAAUAAAUUCAAGAUUCAAAUACAGUGGAACUGCUGCAGUGCCUCAGCAUCGCUACCUUCAUGUGCUAAGUGCUGCAGAUCCACUAGGGCAUAGAGGUGCUGCUCUGCUGAAAUACCACUUGUGGUCCUACUUGAUGUCUUUGUUACAGAAAGCCACGAAGCAAUCUGCGGGUACAGUGAGGUAACCUAAUGUGGGUAGGCCAGCCCCACAGGAAGCUGUUCACUGAAUGAGCAGAGCUGGGAAAUACUUCCAUGUGGACAUAUCUGACAAGUGCAGAGAUUAGUGAUGCCCUUUUCAAGUUCUGAAGAAGUCUGCUGCAAGCAGCAAGCAGAUAGUACUCUUGGCCACUUUGGGCUACAGAAUAACUUUGAUUUUUCCAGCCUCUACUGCCUUCGUUUCUGAGCUGUGAUUUCACCAGUUGUUUUCAAUGCUUGGGUCUUUUAGAUUACUUCAGCAAUGAUGGGAAACUGAAAAAUUCUAGAGAGCUGUGAGAUGGUGAAAACUUGUUCACAGAAAGCGAAUAGAUAUCCAAGGGACAACAUGGACUUGCAAGAGAUACAAAACAAAACAAGAACACAGAUGAAAUGCAUCAACUGUGCUCCUACUCAGCCACGCCAAGGCUAGAGGAGAGGAAAGGAAGAGAGAGCCAAAUGAAAAAUCCUGAAUGACAACAUCUCCAAGUAUCACAGCAGUACCUUCUAAAGCUGGAAGAUAAAGCUGAUGAGGUGGUUACCAUGGCUACAGAAGCGGCAUAUUUGAAUGAAAAUUGAUUUUAAGCUUUUAAAUGCUAAUUGCAUCUGUGAAAAGGUGACAUUUGAAAUAUCUUUUUCUUCUCCCCCUUCCCUCUCCUGCUUUGCAUUGUACAACGAGUGAAAGAAGAGGGUGACAAAGGUGACAACACAGAGUUAAGUUAAAACACUGACGCAGUCUUCAACACUAAAGUAUGUCGCACCAUUUGCUUGUGUAAUAAAAGUAAUAAGCGAACACAUAUAUAGAUCACAGUAUCUGAGGAGCAAAAACUGUAUCUAUAACCCAAGCAAUACAUUUUUCAUCACAUUGUGAAAAAUUAAACAGCCUUAUUUAAAUUAAUCAUCAGACCAAUUUGUUUCUGGUAGUUCAUAAGAAAGAGGCUAUUAAAACUUAGCAUUCAGAAACUAUUAUAAAUUCUCAGUGAUGAGGAAAUUUCGCAAAUGCCUGAAAUUAGAAGCAUUUCUUAUUUCAUUUCAUACAUCAGGAAGUAAACUUGAACUUCUACACAGCAGUAGACUCAGGCCGGAGGGCAAAGGUGCUGUACAGACCAGUGUCACUGUGCAGCUACUGCUAAUUGCUGCCACACCACCGUCUGGCCAUGCUUAGGCUUUAGUUGUAGAAGACAUAGAAGGUGUAAUUUACCUAGCUGUAAGCAUAGGUUUAAUAUGAUCUCAAAGCUUUUUAACUUGCAGUGGGUUGUUACAUCCCACUUGUUAACGCUUGCUGUUUGAAACACUCCUGAUAGGAUUACUGUGUGAAACAUGAUCAGUUGUAAUUCAAAUUUAUAUUUUGUUACAAAUAUAUAUAUAUAUAUUGUAAUUCUUUGAGGGGUUUCAGAUUACUUCAGGUGUUUUUUUUUCUUUUUUCAUUUUUGUUUUUUAAUAUGCAGUAUGAGAAAUCUAGUGGUUUUGUCUAUGUUCUGCUUAGUUGUAAUACACACUGUAACAACUUACGGUAAGGAGGCUAAAUUUUUGAUUCAGUUAUUGCUAAUGAACACUAUGAAAAAAAUGUAGAAAUACAU